rnacentral:rRNA from 1 species
AGUGAACGCUGGCGGUAGGCCUAACACAUGCAAGUCGAACGGCAGCACAGUAAGAGCUUGCUCUUACGGGUGGCGAGUGGCGGACGGGUGAGGAAUACAUCGGAAUCUACUUUUUCGUGGGGGAUAACGUAGGGAAACUUACGCUAAUACCGCAUACGACCUACGGGUGAAAGCAGGGGAUCUUCGGACCUUGCGCGAUUGAAUGAGCCGAUGUCGGAUUAGCUAGUUGGCGGGGUAAAGGCCCACCAAGGCGACGAUCCGUAGCUGGUCUGAGAGGAUGAUCAGCCCCCCUGGAACUGAGACACGGUCCAGACUCCUACGGGAGGCACCAGUGGGGAAUAUUGGACAAUGGGCGCAAGCCUGAUCCAGCCAUACCGCGUGGGUGAAGAAGGCCUUCGGGUUGUAAAGCCCUUUUGUUGGGAAAGAAAAGCAGCAGGUUAAUACCCCGCUGUUCUGACGGUACCCAAAGAAUAAGCACCGGCUAACUUCGUG